rnacentral:rRNA from 1 species
GACGAACGCUGGCGGCGUGCCUAAUACAUGCAAGUCGAACGCAGUUGCGAACGGGUGAGUAACGCGUAGGUAACUGCCUGGUAGCGGGGGAUAACUAUUGGAAACGAUAGCUAAUACCGCAUACUACCAGAUGGACCUGCGUUGUAUUAGCUAGUUGGUGGGGUAACGGCCCACCAAGGAAACGAUACCUAGCCGGCCCGCGAGGGUGGUCGGCCAAACCUGGAAUGGGAAAACGGCCCGAAUCCUACGGGAGGGAGCAGGUGGGGAACCUCGCGAAUGGACGGAAGUCUGGACGAGCAAAGGCGGGGUAGUUGAGAAGGGUUUCGGGUCGUAAAGCUCUUUUGAAAGAGAAGCGGUACCUAAUCAGAAAGCGACGGCUAACUACGUGCCAGCAGCCGCGGUAAUUC